GCAGCGGCCACAUAACCCUGAAGGUGGCGAACCAACGCGGAACAACGAGGCCUACGCCUCCAAAUUAUGGAGGCGUAGGCCCCUACGGAGGCUCAUGCGAGUCUAUUGCAGGUCUGAGGGUCUGAACAUCCAGACUGUCAGGUUCCGGUUUGACGGCCAGCUGAUCAAUGAGAUGGACUCACCAGCAGGACUUGACAUGGAGGAUGAGGACACCAUUGACGUCUUCCAAUACCGUACGGGCAGCCACCACAGCACCCCACAAAGAGGGCGUGCACUGUGAUAGUUGCUGGCUUGGGCUACUGCAUUGGGUGGGCGAAAUGCGGCCCCCCAUUUACAUAAUUCUUUUUUUUUUACAACAAAGCUGAAACACUUUGUGCAGUUUGUUAUCUCUUUUAUGUAGUGUUGCCCAUUCGUCAGCCCCCUUUUUUGUGCAUGUUGUCAUUUCUGUUUCCUCUUCAGUAUGCCCUGCCUGAUUGUUGUACAAUAAACAUCUUUGCUGCAGAU
rnacentral:lncRNA from 1 species